rnacentral:lncRNA from 10 species
GUCUCAUUCUGUCACCCAGGCUGGAGUGCAGUGGUGCAAACACAGCUCACUGCAGCCUUGACCUCCCUGGGCUCAGGUGGUCCUCCCACCUCAGCCUCCUGAGUAGCUGAGUCUACAGGAGCAUAUCAUCAUGCCUGGAUAAUUUUUUAAAAUUUUUUGUAGAGACAGGUUUUCGCCACAUUACCCAGAUUGGUCUCAAACUCCUGGCCUCAAGUGAUCCUCCCCUGUCAGCCUUCCAAAGUGCUGGGAUCACAGGCAUGAGCCACCACACCCAGCCUACACCAUCACUUAUUUACAUGCCACAAAGACCGCCCAAUUUAAGGAUCAGCUACCCUAACACCAUUCACUCCUGCUGCCACUCAGCAAAUAGUUUUUGAACAUUUACCUUGUGCCAGCACUGUUCUAGGUUCUGAAUGCACAUUGGUGAAUAAAACAAGAUUGUCUCUGCCCUAGGGGAAGAGCCAGACAAAGAACUUGAAA